rnacentral:rRNA from 1 species
AUUGAACGCUGGCGGCAGGCCUAACACAUGCAAGUCGAGCGGAGCGGUGGACGGGUGCGGGAUGGCAAGGAAUCUGCCUGCUAGUGGUGGCUGGCGUCCAGAAACGGGCGCUAAUACCGCAUACUGUCAGAUGAGCCUAGGUCGGAUUAACUAGUUGGUGGGGUAAAGGCCUACCAAGGCGACGAUCCGUAACUGGUCUGAGGGGAUGAUCAGUCAAACUGGAACUGAGACACGGUCCAGACUCCUACGUGAGGCAGCAGUGGGGAAUAUUGGACAAUGGGCGAAAGCCUGAUCCAGCAAUGCCGCGUGUGUGAAGAAGGUCUUCGGAUUGUAAAGCACUUUAAGUGGGGAGGCGUUACCGAAAGAAUAAGCACCGGCUAACUACGUGCCAGCAGCCGCGGUAAUUC